rfam:Phanerochaete carnosa HHB-10118-sp unplaced genomic scaffold PHACAscaffold_3, whole genome shotgun sequence.
GGCGAGAUGGCCGAGCGGUCUAAGGCGCCAGACUAAGGAUCUGGUCCGAAAGGGCGUGGGUUCGAAUCCCACUCUCGUCA